rnacentral:rRNA from 1 species
AACGAACGCUGGCGGCGUGCUUAACACAUGCAAGUCGAGUGCGCGCCUGUAGCAAUACAGGUGGCGCACGGCGCACGGGUGCGUAACACGUGGGUAACCUGCCCUUUAGUGGGGAAUAACCUCGCGAAAGCGAGGCUAAUUCCGCAUAAGAUCCGCAAGGAUGAAAGCCGUAAGGCGCUGAUGGAGGGGCCCGCGCACGAUUAGCUAGUUGGUAGGGUAAUGGCCUACCAAGGCUAUGAUCGUUAGCUGGUCUGAGAGGAUGGCCAGCCA